rnacentral:tRNA from 1 species
GAGGGUAGAGUUCAGUGAUAGAGCUCAAGCUUAGCAUGCAUGAGGUCCUGAGUUCAAUCCCCAGUACCUCUU